UGCCAGCAGCCGCGGUAAUACGUAGGGCCCGAGCGUUAUCCGGAUUUAUUGGGCGUAAAGAGCAUGUAGGCGGUUUAGUAAGUCGGAUUUUAAAGUCCCGGGCUCAACUCGGGUUUUGGAUUCGAUACUGCUUUUCUAGACAGUGGCAGGGGCAAGUGGAAUUAGUGGUGUAGCAGUGAAAUGCGUUGAUCUCACUAAGAACACCGAUGGCGAAGGCAGCUUGCUAGGUCACUUGUGACGCUGAGAUGCGAAAGCGUGGGGAGCGAACGGGAUUAGAUACCCCGGUAGUCCACGCCGUAAACGAUGCAGACUAGGCAUCAGGAGUAUCGACCCUCCUUGUGCCGUAGCUAACGCGUUAAGUCUGCCGCCUGGGGAGUACGGCCGCAAGGCUAAAACUCAAAGGAAUUGACGGGGGCCCGCACAAGC
rnacentral:rRNA from 1 species